ACUAUUAUAGCAGAACGGUUAAUGCAGAAGGCCUAAGCCCUUCCUCCUAUAGGUUCAAUUCCUAUUAAUAGUU
rnacentral:tRNA from 1 species